CAGUGCAGUCAUCCAUAAAGUAGAAAGCACUACUAAACUCCUCGGCACAGUGUAGUGUUUCCUACUUUAUGGAUGAGUGUACUGU
rfam:Lepisosteus oculatus linkage group LG22, whole genome shotgun sequence.